rnacentral:rRNA from 1 species
GACGAACGUUGGCGGCGUGCCUAAUACAUGCAAGUUGAGCGCUGAAGGUUGGUACUUGUACCAACUGGAUGAGCAGCGAACGGGUGAGUAACGCGUGGGGAAUCUGCCUUUGAGCGGGGGACAACAUUUGGAAACGAAUGCUAAUACCGCAUAAAAACUUUAAACACAAGUUUUAAGUUUGAAAGAUGCAAUUGCAUCACUCAAAGAUGAUCCCGCGUUGUAUUAGCUAGUUGGUGAGGUAAAGGCUCACCAAGGCGAUGAUACAUAGCCGACCUGAGAGGGUGAUCGGCCACAUUGGGACUGAGACACGGCCCAAACUCCUACGGGAGGCAGCAGUAGGGAAUCUUCGGCAAUGGACAAAAGUCUGACCGAGCAACGCCGCGUGAGUGAAGAAGGGUUUCGGAUCGUAAAACUCUGUUGGUAGAGAAGAACGUUGGUGAGAGUGGAAAGCUCAUCAAGUGACGGUAACUACCCAGAAAGGGACGGCUAACUACGUG